CACAUGCAUAGGGCUUU
rnacentral:miRNA from 1 species